UCAGCAACUUAUUCGUGCGGGGGUCGAACCUGCUGCAGGUUCGGGUCGAGCGCAUGCGAGACAACGUUGCCUCCGGCAACGGCCCGCAGGGCGAGGCCCCUGGCCGAGUUAUCCUGCACGACCCACCA
rnacentral:sRNA from 1 species